rnacentral:rRNA from 1 species
GACGAACGCUGGCGGCGUGCUUAACACAUGCAAGUCGAACGGAGCGCUACUGAUAGAGGUUUCGGCCAAUUGAUGUAGUUGCUUAGUGGCGGACUGGUGAGUAACGCGUGAAGAACCUGCCUUCCAGAGGGGGACAACAGUUGGAAACGACUGCUAAUACCGCAUGACACAUCGAAAGGGCAUCCUUUUGAUGUCAAAGAUUUAUCGCUGGAAGAUGGCUUCGCGUCUGAUUAGCUAGUUGGCGGGGUAACGGCCCACCAAGGCGACGAUCAGUAGCCGGACUGAGAGGUUGAUCGGCCACAUUGGGACUGAGAUACGGCCCAGACUCCUACGGGAGGCAGCAGUGGGGAAUAUUGGGCAAUGGACGCAAGUCUGACCCAGCAACGCCGCGUCGAAGGAAGAAGGCUUUACGGGUUGUAAACUUCUUUUAAGAGGGAAGAGUAGAAGACGGUACCUCUUGAAUAAGCCACGGCUAACUACGUGCCAGCAGCCGCGGU